rnacentral:pre_miRNA from 1 species
CUCCUACUCCCUCCGUUCCGAAUUACUUGUCUUAGAUUUGUCUAGAUACGGAGGUAUCUAGCACUAAAAUGAGUCUAAAUACAUCCGUAUCUAGACAAAUCCAAGACAAGUAUUUCGGAACGGAGGGAGUACAUG